GCCCGCCAUAGGAGUUUGGAGUAGACCGCUUGCUGUAGGAGUUCGGAGUAGACUGCUCAUAGUAGAAGUUCGGAGUAGACCGUCCGUAUUAGAAGUUCGGAGUAGACCGCCCGUAGUAGAAGUUCAGAGUAGACCGCCCGUAGUAGAAGUUUGGAGAAUAGUUGAUCACUGUAGAAGGUCGGCUGGUGGUGAGGUCUAGAGAGCUUUUGGGGUGGCCCGGUAGACGAAUGCAGAAGUUCACUAUCAGAGAAGUCCGGACGGUUGAGGGGGUUUGGAGAGACGCCAUACACAAGGUCAG
rnacentral:lncRNA from 1 species